GCCCAUAUAGCUCAGUGGCAGAGCACUUCCUUGGUAAGGAAGAGGUCGGCGGUUCAAUCCCGCUUAUGGGCUCCA
rnacentral:tRNA from 35 species